rnacentral:rRNA from 1 species
UGCAGUCGAGGGGUAGAGAGUGCUUGCACUCUUGAGACCGGCGCACGGGUGCGUAACGCGUAUGCAAUCUACCUUUUACAGAGGGAUAGCCCAGAGAAAUUUGGAUUAAUACCUCAUAGUAUUAUUAAUUGGCAUCAAUUGAUAAUUAAAGCUGAGGCGGUAAAAGAUGAGCAUGCGUUCUAUUAGCUAGAUGGAGUGGUAACGGCACCCCAUGGCAACGAUAGAUAGGGGCCCUGAGAGGGGGAUCCCCCACACUGGUACUGAGACACGGACCAGACUCCUACGGGAGGCAGCAGUGAGGAAUAUUGGACAAUGGGCGAGAGCCUGAUCCAGCCAUGCCGCGUGCAGGAAGACGGUCCUAUGGAUUGUAAACUGCUUUUAUACGGGAAGAAACACCCCCUCGUGAGGGGGCUUGACGGUACCGUAAGAAUAAGGAUCGGCUAACUCCGUGCCAGCAGCCGCGGUAAUACGGAGGAUCCAAGCGUUAUCCGGAAUCAUUGGGUUUAAAGGGUCCGUAGGUGGAUAAUUAAGUCAGAGGUGAAAUCCUGCAGCUCAACUGUAGAAUUGCCUUUGAUACUGGUUAUCUUGAAUUAUUAUGAAGUAGUUAGAAUAUGUAGUGUAGCGGUGAAAUGCAUAGAUAUUACAUAGAAUACCAAUUGCGAAAGCAGAUUACUAAUAAUUGAUUGACACUGAUGGACGAA